rnacentral:rRNA from 1 species
GACGAACGCUGGCGGCGUGCCUAAUACAUGCAAGUUGAGCGCUGAAGGUUGGUACUUGUACCAACUGGAUGAGCAGCGAACGGGUGAGUAACGCGUGGGGAAUCUGCCUUUGAGCGGGGGACAACAUUUGGAAACGAAUGCUAAUACCGCAUAAAAACUUUAAACACAAGUUUUAAGUUUGAAAGAUGCAAUUGCAUCACUCAAAGAUGAUCCCGCGUUGUAUUAGCUAGUUGGUGAGGUAAAGGCUCACCAAGGCGAUGAUACAUAGCCGACCUGAGAGGGUGAUCGGCCACAUUGGGACUGAGACACGGCCCAAACUCCUACGGGAGGCAGCAGUAGGGAAUCUUCGGCAAUGGACGAAAGUCUGACCGAGCAACGCCGCGUGAGUGAAGAAGGUUGUCGGAUCGUAAAAAUCUGUUGGUAGGGAAGAACGUUGGUGAGAGUGGAAAGCUCAUAAAGUGACGGUACCUACACAGAAAGGGACGGCUAACUACGUG